UCAUCCUCUUCCUCCUGGUGUUUGCCAUCGCUGCAGCCGCCUAUGUAUGGAUUGAAGGUAAACGCCACGGCCUCUGUGGUCCCCUGCGCCCGCCCUCCGAGGCUCCAGGCUGGCAGGCCCUGUCUCCACAGGUACCAAGGACCCCAGCCGGAACCGCUACAAGCUGUUUCUGGAGUGCACCCUGAUCCUCACCUCGGUCGUGCCUCCUGAGCUGCCCAUCGAGCUGUCCCUGGCCGUCAACACCUCCCUCAUUGCCCUGGCCAAGCUCUGUGAGUGUGUCAAAUGGGGUAGGGUGCCAAGUGGGCUGGGGCCAAGCAGGACCCCUGACCUCACUCCCGCCCCUAGACAUGUACUGCACAGAGCCCUUCCGGAUCCCCUUUGCUGGCAAGGUCGAGGUGUGCUGCUUUGACAAGACGGGGACCUUGACCAGUGACAGCCUGGUGGUGCGCGGUGUGGCCGGGCUGAGAGACGGGAAGGAGGUGACCCCAGUGUCCAGCAUCCCUGUAGAAACACACCGGGCCCUGGCCUCGUGCCACUCGCUCAUGCAGCUGGACGACGGCACCCUCGUGGGUGAUCCUCUAGAGAAGGCCAUGCUGACGGCCGUGGACUGGACGCUGACCAAAGUGCCCUGAAGCGAAUGUCCGUGCUUGCCUCGUAUGAGAAGCUGGGCUCCACCGACCUCUGCUACAUCGCGGCCGUGAAGGGGGCCCCCGAAACCCUGCACUCCAUGGUGAGCUGGCCCCAGCCUGGGGCAAGGGGUAGGGGUGCGGGGCAGCCCGUGACAUCCCCCUGCAUUCCCUGCAGUUCUCCCAGUGCCCGCCCGACUACCACCACAUCCACACCGAGAUCUCCCGGGAAGGAGCCCGCGUCCUUGCGCUGGGGUACAAGGAGCUGGGACACCUCACUCACCAGCAGGUACGGG
rnacentral:sRNA from 1 species